rnacentral:rRNA from 1 species
UACAGAGGUCUCAAGCGUUGUUCGGAUUCAUUGGGCGUAAAGGGUGUGUAGGUGGCGCCGUAAGUCGGGUGUGAAAUCUCGGGGCUUAACUCCGAAACUGCAUUUGAUACUGCGGUGCUUGAGGACUGGAGAGGAGACUGGAAUUCAUGGUGUAGCAGUGAAAUGCGUAGAGAUCAUGAGGAAGACCAGUGGCGAAGGCGGGUCUCUGGACAGUUCCUGACACUGAGACACGAAGGCCAGGGGAGCAAACGGG